GGUGGUGCAUGGCCGUUCUUAGUUGGUGGAGUGAUUUGUCUGGUUAAUUCCGAUAACGAACGAGACCUUAACCUGCUAACUAGUUCUCAAUACUCUGUAUUCUGCAACUUCUUAGAGGGACUAUGUAAAUCAAUUACAUGGAAGUUUGAGGCAAUAACAGGUCAGUGAUGCCCUUAUAUGUCCUGGGCUGCACGCGUGCUACACUGAUGCAUACAACAAGUGCCUAGCCAGACAUGGUAUGGCAAUCUCGAAUAUGCAUCGUGAUGGGGAUAGAUCUUUGCAAUU
rnacentral:rRNA from 1 species